GACGAACGCUGGCGGCGUGCUUAACACAUGCAAGUCGAACGGAAAGGCCCAGCUUGCUGGGUGCUCGAGUGGCGAACGGGUGAGUAACACGUGGGUGAUCUGCCCCUAACUUCGGGAUAAGCUUGGGAAGCUGGGUCUAAUACCGGAUAGGACAAUCGUUUAGUGUCGGUUGUGGAAAGUUUUUUCGGUUAGGGAUGAGCCCGCGGCCUAUCAGCUUGUUGGUGGGGUAAUGGCCUACCAAGGCGUCGACGGGUAGCCGGCCUGAGAGGGUGGACGGCCACAUUGGGACUGAGAUACGGCCCAGACUCCUACGGGAGGCAGCAGUGGGGAAUAUUGCACAAUGGGCGCAAGCCUGAUGCAGCGACGCCGCGUGGGGGAUGACGGCCUUCGGGUUGUAAACCUCUUUCGACAGGGACGAAGCUUUGGUGACGGUACCUGUAUAAGAAGCACCGGCUAACUACGUG
rnacentral:rRNA from 1 species